rnacentral:rRNA from 1 species
AACGUACGCUGGCGGCACGCCUAACACAUGCAAGUCGAACGAAGUAGCAAUACUUAGUGGCAGACGGGUGAGUAUCAUGUAGGUAUCUGCCCUUUGGCCUGGAAUAACACGAGGAAACUUGUGCUAAUACCGGAUAAGUCUUUACGGAGAAAGCUUUAUGCACCAUUGGAUGAGCCUGCACUUGAUUAGUUUGUUGGUGGGGUAAUGGCCUACCAAGACUGUGAUCAAUAGCUGAUUUGAGAGGAUGAUCAGCCACAUUGGGACUGAGACACGGCCCAGACUCCUACGGGAGGCAGCAGUGGGGAAUCUUGCACAAUGGGGGAAACCCUGAUGCAGCGAUGCCGCGUGAGUGAAGAAGGCCUUUGGGUUGUAAAGCUCUUUCGUCGGGGAAGAAAAUGACUGUACCCGAAUAAGAAGGUCCGGCUAACUUCGUGCCAGCAGCCGCGGUAAUACGAAGGGACCUAGCGUAGUUCGGAAUUACUGGGCUUAAAGAGUUCGUAGGUGGUUGAAAAAGUUGGUGGUGAAAUCCCAGAGCUUAACUCUGGAACUGCCAUCAAAACUUUUCAGCUAGAGUAUGAUAGAGGAAAGCAGAAUUUCUAGUGUAGAGGUGAAAUUCGUAGAUAUUAGAAAGAAUACCAAUUGCGAAGGCAGCUUUCUGGAUCAUUACUGACACUGAGGAACGAAAGCAUGGGUAGCGAAGAGGAUUAGAUACCCUCGUAGUCCAUGCCGUAAACGAUGUGUGUUAGACGUUGGAAAUUUAUUUUCAGUGUCGCAGCGAAAGCGAUAAACACACCGCCUGGGAAGUACGGUCGCAAGAUUA